AAUCAGUUGUUUUAAUUGUCAUAUUUGAAUUCAGCACAUCAAAAUACAUAAUAAAUAGCACAUUUUAUCUCUGAAGCAGACGACAUCUCAAAAAUUGUAGACCAGUGUAGUCUGUAUUUGUGAUGUCUUAAUCUUAGAAAUCUGCAGGGCUUCUACUUGGAGUUCUGUUCUCACACAGCAUAUCCCUCAACUUGGCAUCUAGCUCUGUUGCUCAUUUUUGGAGAGCAAUUCUGCAGAACUUGUUCCAGAAGCUCUCUGCCCAUCUUCCUGGGUAUUAGAAAGCAGCACAAGUAAAGAAUAUGCAGAUGCUAGCUACAAGAGGAAAGAUUAGUAAUAAUUGCGUCUGUUAGAUAGUGUUGUCUCUGUCUAUUUAGGCUAACCACCCAGCUUUCCCUUUUCUGAGUUCUAGCCUUGUGGGACUUGGUACCUGGUUAAGUGGAAGGAACUGAGUCCUUUUGAGAGCUCUUGUAACGUCUACUGGGAAUGUGCUUGUAUAGCCCAAAUUGAUAUUGAUUUCCAGAACAUUUCUAAAGCUCAAUGGUAGAGGGCAGGAGUAAGUGGGUGCAUUCUACAAAUGAACAUUUGCAGAGUAACUCCUGAACAACUAAUUCCUGGUCUGUAUUCUUUCUGUUAUGGUUAGGAAUAUGGUAUGUCUAAAGCUGCAUUCUCUCUGGAGGGUUGGGUAUUUUUGGUCUCGCAGCCACACUUCACCAUUGAAACGAUCACUCAAAAUAUUUAAAAAAAAAAAAAAAAAAAAAAGGCGCAAAACCCACCAUUGCCCUCCCACUACCUUUGCUUUAUAAUUUAUUUCAUCUAUACAAGUUUUAUCUGCAGAGGCAGUUACACUUCUAACCAUCUUCUUCUUCCCUAUCCACCAGCAACCUUUUCUCCUCUCCCCUCCUGCUGACCAGCAACUUUAGGGACUGAAGUGCUGUGAAAACCUUUGCAAUUCAUUGUAAAUGUAGUUGUGUGUUUGGGGGUGGAGGGGUCAGAGAGGACAGAGAGAAUAUUAGAUUAAUAUAUUUGCAGAUAAUAUGUAGGCUUUAAUACUGCUUAAUAAAGUACCCCUCACAAACCCAGAAAUAGAAGGGAGUUCAAAUAGCCCUUCAUUUUUAACAGAAAAUGGAACUUUCCUUCAAAAAAGAGUGGUGCUUAUUUUUUCCCAUUCAUUUCAAAUAGAAGUGGCGCUUGAGGUCCCCUUCUAUCUUUCAGGUUUUGGGAAGGUCAUUCCAUGUUUCGUCACUAGGGGACUGGAAACAGUAUUCCAUAGAUCUUUGUUACUUUGUUAUCUGACAAGGUGAGGAAGCAACGUUGGAGAAACAGAAAAAGAAUAAAAGCUUUCACAUAGAUUGUAUUCAAAAUUGGGUGAUUAUCCACUAAACUCCUGGCAUAGGCUACUGGGUAUGGACAGCACUAAUGAAAUAAAAUACUCUAAAUUCUCCCAACUCACUCUUAAUUUGUAAAAGAUAGUAAGACAUCCCUUGGAGAUCAAGGUGGAACACCUAACUGAGGAAGGGGAAGGAGUACUGCGGUUCUCCCUACAAAGUCCCAUGCUGCAAUGUCACAUCUUUACACCAUUUGUAAGUCAUUUUUUAGUGUAAAAGCUAAACUGGGAGUUGUUUUAGAUUCUCUAUUUAAUUUUUUAAAAUUUAUUACUGGGUGAGAAACUGCUCCUGAGAGGGCAACUAGGCUUCUGGGAAUGGGCUGAGGGGGAGAUACAACCUGUCCCAGGGGCCUGUUUUGGGGUGGUAAAUGGGAUGCUGUCUUCCCAGCAUCUCUUCUGCAGCCCCAGAAUGCUGGGCCUGGCACCUUCUGUAUAAAAGGGUAGAAUACUGAGUUGCAGCAGCUCUUGCUUCUCCCGUGCUUCAUCAGCUCAGCCAUGGGCUGGCUGGCUGGCUGUGUGCCAGGUACUAAAGCUGGUAGGGAUUUUCCACCAAAAUAUUUUUUUCAACGGAAAAUGCAAGUUUCUGCAGAAUCAAAGAUUUUUGCCUAGAUGCUUGUUUCUCUGAUGAAAAAUCAAAAUGCAAUAUUUCUCCAUUUGGGUCAGUCAGCUGAAUCCAAAUUGAAAUAUUUAGUUUUGGGUCAGUUCCAUAUUAAUCUGUGUCUGCAUCAGCUGCUGCAGUGCCUCCUGGGCAUUGUAGUUUGGGUGCUUCAGGCUCCCGUUCUUCUCCAUAGGCUAGGCAGGGAGCAUGGCCCAGCUCCCACGAUGCAUCAUCAACUCCCAUAGGUUGAACUGACACAAUGUAUCAUGAGAGUCAUAUGGUCAGCAUCAUGUGAAAUGUAGUCUGGCAAGGGAGCCCAGCCAUAGAGGAAAAUGGGAACAUGAGGCACUAUGGCAGCUCAUGGGGCUGUAGAUUAAUGUUAGACUGAGCCGAAGUGAAAUCCAUCAAUUUGGGAAUGUCUAAAUGAAACUUCAGUUAGAAAAUACAGAAUUUUCUGUCCACAAAAGAAUUUGAUGUUUCAAAUUUGGAACAAAAACAAAUUUCAAAAUAUUGGCAUUUUCUGCAAAAUUCUGACUUUCCAAAAGCUCUACCAGAUAUGCUGCAAGGGGACUUGCAUUGACUGCCAUGCAUCUCACGUGACACUCACACAUGCACAUUCCCACAGCCCAGGCUAAGGGCUUGUCUACGCAUGGAGUUAUUCAGGAAUAGCCACUGCUCUUUAAAUAUACACCUUACUAUAAUAUGAAUUAACUUUCAAAUGUAGACAAGUUCUAAAUGUCAUGCAACUGCAGCUUAAGACCUCCAGAAGCUUCUGUGGUGCCUUUUGGACCUGAGCAAAGAAGGAGCAGCCAAGAGUAGGCCAGCAACAGUGGCAGCAGGAAGUGGCAACAGUAGAGGCGGAAGAUCAUAACAAGGAAGAUCUCAAACCAAAUCUCCAUCUCCAAGCAUCCUGAGCUUUGAAAAUUUGGAUCCUGCUCUGAACUUUGGAAUUUGGGUCCAUUCUGGAGAGAUACUCUGAGCAAUACUAGAUCAGCUUAUCUACAGCCAUAAGGGGAAAGGGAACUGCAGUCGUCAUUUAGAAGUAUGAGGAUGCCCUAAAUAGACAUAAUGCCCACCCAGGUGGACAUCAAAAUCCUCAUUUGCUCGCUUUAACCAUGGACUACCUUGUUCUCAGAACAAAUACUCUCACCUAUUUGGAGUUAAGCCUAUGCUUAUUCUGCCCCAGGCGCUCUUGAAAAUUAAAAAACAAACCAUCAGUACCAAGGGAUAGGAUGAUGAUCAUAUUACUGGUUCUGGAUUAGCCCAGAAAACUCUGCAUUCUUUGAGACUUCUAACUCUGGGUUCUGUCCUUGUUCAGACCAAGUAGGCUAUGGACUAAGUGCAAAGAAAACCCCACCAACUUUUAAGUGUUACCCUUGAUUGACCCCUCAGCAAACCCUCCUCUCAACAUCUCCUGCACAAGGAUCCUAGUUGCCCCCAUAUUUUGCCUGUUCAAAUGACCAUGCUCAAAAAAGUCAUACAGGAGUGGAACAGGUGCCAACCACAAUGGUGCGUGAAUGUCUGGAAAUCCAUCAUUGCCCAUUGACUGUUUCUUCAGGGUUGACACUUAGAUAACGGAAACCUUCUAGCUAUAAUUUUGGAGGGUCUACUUAGAGACCAGGAUUGUGCUGCCUUGAGGGCCAGGCCUCUGUGGUCAAGGUUCCAAGAUAAUAUCGAUAAAUUGUCCAUAGGAUAGGAGCUCUUAUAGAGAGAGAUGGAUGCUUUGAAGGCUGCAACCAAGCUAAAACCAAGAUGGCUUUCUCUGGCCCUUCAGCCUGGCCCUUAUUGCUCUCAGAGCCCUCUCUUUGAGCUUUUAAAGAGAGGCUUUUUGAGAGCAGCCUGCCCUCAUAACAAUUUUCCUGGCUAGAAGACUGGAGGAAUUCCUGGCCAUCAGGAACUGAUACCUAGUCUUUCAGCAAGACAAAGUAGUGAUCAAGAUGAUACCUCAUUUUUCUUUGAUAAAUCCUUAUCUUAUGGCCUAGGAUGUCUCUUCUUUCUCCUCCUGCUUCUCCCUGCAAACCCUGAAGGAGCAGAAAGUAUAUAUUCUGGAUAUAAAAAAAGGGCCUUGUAUAUCUAGCUGAAAGGCCUCUAGAUUAUGGGAAAUGGUGUAAUCUAUUUGUCCUCUACAGCUGAGCUGAGACAGAGGCUAAAACCUCCAUGGCCUACUGAGUUCUGGAGUGCUCAGAGCAAAGAAGUUCCCACUACCACUGGAGCACAUAUCUCCCAAUGAAGUAGAUGGUGUAAGCUGUUGAAGAUAAGGGGGCUUGCUGACUUUCCAUUGGAUAUAAGUGCUGAGAGUCAUUCCCAGCAAGGAGGAAAACAAACUCAGAUAAGUCUGAGUGGGGACAGAGGGACCCACCUGGAACACCGUCCAAAGCCUGAGCAUAGGGAAAGUCCCAUACUUUAUAGGAUGCUGGCAGUGGAUAGUUGGGGUAUGGGGAAAGUCCAAGGAAGGUGUCCAGGAAAGAGAAGAAUUGGAGACAUCUUCUUCACAAACACAAGCAUAUCCGAUGGCCCCAGCUUAGAGGUUUGUUUAGGCCUUAGGCCAUCCCACCAGUGUUGCAGAAGGAUUUUAAUGGACUUCAAGUGUGUGGGAAUCUGGACCCACCUGCUAGAACUUCCCUUCCUACUUCCAAUCCCACUAGUCCUUCUCACUAUGGGCUUGUCUACUCCCAUUGGUACUGCUUUAACUAUGGUGGUUUGAAACUGGCAUAGCUGAAGUGGUACAAUCUCUCAUGUGGAUGCAGUUAUACUUGUAUUAAGGUGCUUUAUCCUGGAAUAGUUUAUUCCCAUAAAGUUUGUAGGGAUAAGCUAUACGGGUAUAAGCACCUUUAUACCACUGUAAGAGCGUCCACACUCGGGGUUGUACCACUUCAACUAUUUUGGUUUAAAAAAAUGCAUCCCUAAGGGCAUGUCUACACUACGAAAUUAGGUUGA